CCGUAAUGGCUAUUAAAAUUAUAAAUUUUGUGGCAUUUAAUCGUUCAAUUAAUGAUGUCAAAAAAAAUAUAAAAUUUGAUAUUAGAUAGUUUAAAUAGGAUAGAUCAUAUUCAAUGAUGGUAAUCGUCAAUUCAAAAAUUUUAUCAUCGAAAAUAAAUCUUAGUAAACCGAGCUGUUUACUACUGAUAGUAACUCUCUAUAUAUAAAGGGUCUAAAGGUCGGAAAUAUAUGCUUUUACAAGCCUAGUAAUCUGACACUAUAUUGCACAAUGUAAAAUCAAUUCAGGUUCAUGUUUCGAUCGGGUACAGAUAAAGUUCAUAUCAGAGUUCAAAUCUGUCAAAUUUUUAUUUUUUAUAUCUGUAUUCGAAUUAAAUCCGUUUAGCAUCAGGAUAAACCGGCUCCCUUCGGAUUUGGAUUCGGAUAAAAUUUUGAACAUAUGUACCCAUUGACAUCCAAAGCAAAACACAAUAUUAA
rnacentral:lncRNA from 1 species